GAUGAACGCUGGCGGCGUGCCUAAUACAUGCAAGUCGAGCGAACAGACGAGGAGCUUGCUCCUCUGACGUUAGCGGUGGACGGGUGAGUAACACGUGGAUAACUUACCUAUAAGACUGGGAUAACUUCGGGAAACCGGAGCUAAUACCGGAUAACAUGUUGAACCGCAUGGUUCAACAGUGAAAGACGGUCUUGCUGUCACUUAUAGAUGGAUCCGCGCCGCAUUAGCUAGUUGGUAAGGUAACGGCUUACCAAGGCAACGAUGCGUAGCCGACCUGAGAGGGUGAUCGGCGACACUGGAACUGAGACACGGUCCAGACUCCUACGGGAGGCAGCAGUAGGGAAUCUUCCGCAAUGGGCGAAAGCCUGACGGAGCAACGCCGCGUGAGUGAAGAAGGUCUUCGGAUCGUAAAACUCUGUUAUUAGGGAAGAACAAAUGUGUAAGUAACUAUGCACGUCUUGACGGUACCUAAUCAGAAAGCCACGGCUAACUACGUG
rnacentral:rRNA from 1 species